GACGAACGCUGGCGGCGUGCCUAAUACAUGCAAGUAGAACGCUGAAGGAGGAGCUUGCUCUUCUGGAUGAGUUGCGAACGGGUGAGUAACGCGUAGGUAACCUGCCUGGUAGCGGGGGAUAACUAUUGGAAACGAUAGCUAAUACCGCAUAAGAGUAGAUGUUGCAUGACAUUUACUUAAAAGGUGCAAUUGCAUCACUACCAGAUGGACCUGCGUUGUAUUAGCUAGUUGGUGGGGUAACGGCUUACCAAGGCGACGAUACAUAGCCGACCUGAGAGGGGGAUCGCCCACCUGGGGACGGAGACACGGCCCAGCCUCCUACGGGAGGCAGCAGUGGGGAAUUUUCGGCAAUGGCCGGAAGUCUGCCCCAGAAACCCCGCGUGGGUGAAGAAGGUGUUGGGUUGGUAAAGCUCUUUUGUAGGGAAAGAACGGGUGUGGGGUGGGAAAGUCCCCACUGGACGGGAAUUUUACAAGAAGGGGCCGGUUACUUCCUG
rnacentral:rRNA from 1 species